rnacentral:snRNA from 1 species
AGAUGUGAGGGCGGUCUGGCUAGACCAUCGGUCACUCCAUAGAUACCCAGGUUGAUUUGGCUGAUCUGGCUGGCUGGCUGGGUGUUCCCUUCCUCACUGCUCCAUGCUGGUGGGACAGAGGGGGGCCAUUUCUAUGGUCAAGGGUAUAUGAGUAGAUGCAUUCCCCUGCUAGAACCUGCACAAACGCUCAGAAGGGCUAGGGGUAUAGCGCAGUGGUAGUGUGUUUAUAUGCAAAAGGCCCUGGAUUU